rnacentral:hammerhead_ribozyme from 1 species
GUACUGUGGAGAGUCCCACAAUAGGACGAAACAGCUGUCCAGUAC